AAUUGCAGAAUUCAGUGAAUCAUCGAAUCUUUGAACGCACCUUGCGCUCCUUGGUAUUCCGAGGAGCAUGCCUGUUUGAGUGUCAUU
rnacentral:rRNA from 1 species